CUCAAGGUUUGACUUAAAAAUUGUCCUAAACGACUUUGUUUAUGAAUACAGAGGGAGUAUUUUUGUUGUUAUGAGAUGAUAAAAUAUGAAUAGUACUUUACUUGUGACUUAUGUUUUUAAUUUUUUUUCAAAAAAGAUUCAAAUAAGACGGACAGUUAAAGUUGGGCAUGAAAAACGAUGGCUGCACUUAAA
rnacentral:pre_miRNA from 1 species